rnacentral:rRNA from 1 species
AACGAACGCUGGCGGCAUGCCUAACACAUGCAAGUCGAACGAGACCUUCGGGUCUAGUGGCGCACGGGUGCGUAACGCGUGGGAACCUGCCCUUAGGUUCGGAAUAACUCCCCGAAAGGGGUGCUAAUACCGGAUAAUGUCUUCGGACCAAAGAUUUAUCGCCUUUGGAUGGGCCCGCGUUGGAUUAGCUAGUUGGUAGGGUAAAAGCCUACCAAGGCGACGAUCCAUAGCUGGUCUGAGAGGAUGAUCAGCCACACUGGGACUGAGACACGGCCCAGACUCCUACGGGAGGCAGCAGUGGGGAAUAUUGGACAAGGGGCGAAAGCCUGAUCCAGCAAUGCCGCGUGAGUGAUGAAGGCCUUAGGGUUGUAAAGCUCUUUUACCCGAGAUGAUAAUGACAGUACCGGGAGAAUAAGCUCCGGCUAACUCCGUG